ensembl:lncRNA
AUUUAAACCGUUGUAAAUAACUUGUUGGCCUAUAAGCUCUCAAACAUAUCUGUCAUUAAUGAUAUUAAGUAAUUUUUAGCCCCCCAAAAAUUAUACCAGUCACAAGGUAGAAGCUGCAACCAGAUUUUUGCAAAAGCGACGCUAUAUCCUUUAUUUAUACAGGAGCAAGGCUUUCUUGUAAUUUCUGAAGCUCACCAAAGCCUCAUCCGAAACAGUCUCGAUGGAAGAGGGACUGUCAAGAAGCCGAUUUUAAGGAAGGGAAACAGUCUGAGAAGGCUGAGAACUGUAAGCUGCAUCUGUGCUGCAAGGCCCAGGAAAUGAACCUUGGAGACCACCAGAGUAUUCCUCUCUGAUUUAUGAGCC